rnacentral:rRNA from 1 species
UCAUCUGUUUCUUAAAUAUUUAUUGAAUUUGACUUUUAAGUGAAAAGGCUUAAAUAAACCAAAAAGACGAUAAGACCCUAUAAAUCUUUACAAUAAAUAUAUUUUAUGUUUUAGCUUAUAAGUGUAUAAGAAAUAAAAAUAUAAGUUUGUUGCGCUGGGGCGGCGUAGAUAUAUAAAUAAACUGUCUAUGAUUUAAAUACAAUAAUUAUUGCUUAAUACAAAUUGAUCCUUAAAUAGAUUAAAAGAUUAAGAUACUUUAGGGAUAACAGCGUUA